AAUCCAUGGUGUGAGCAUUGCAAUAAAAAUGAUUUGAAGCGAUCUCAUACUUCACGAAAAGAUUCAGCAUUCUCUUGAUAAAAAUUAGAAAUUUCAGCUCUUAAUUCU
rnacentral:snoRNA from 1 species